UACGUAGGGUGCUAGCGUUAUUCGGAUUUACUGGGCGUAAAGGGUGCGUAGGUGGUCUUUCAAGUCGGAGGUUAAAGGCUACGGCUCAACUGCAUUACGCCGCCGAAACUGGAAGACUUGAGUGCAGGAGGGGAAAGUGGAAUUCUCAGUGUAGCGGUAAAAUGCGUAGAUAUUGAGAAGAACACCAGUAGCGAAGGCGGCUUUCUGGAC
rnacentral:rRNA from 1 species